rnacentral:lncRNA from 1 species
GUACAAUGGUUCACAGAGCUGGUAGCCACGCUUCUCCAAGGUCCCUCGCUGUAAGGUUGGGAAUGCAGAAGGGCUCAGGUGUGGCUCAGGUUGUACAACCAUUUUUCUUUUUCCACCAGCUGCUCUGAAACUUUGCUUUUGUCAGAGAAGAGCUUUCUGGAAAAAAAAAUAAAAAUGAAAAAGCAGAAUAAUGGACAUGAUGCCUUGUGGUAACAAAGAAUGAGGCUGUCAUUCAUGGAUCAAAGCCAAAAGUCAAACCAAGCCACAGCUUCAGACUUUGAGCUGCAGGGAAGUCAGCUCUGAGGAGGUUAGAAACAGGCAGGGGACAUUCUGGAUACAGAGGGCCCCAUUGAUGUCAGGUCAAAUUUUCUGUUUGAUGGAUUUAAACUGCUACUUCUCUUGUCAGAAUUCAAGAGAGAACUUGAAUGCUGCUGAAUCAGAUAAUGGCCUUGAAGUAUUUGGGAUGUAAAACAGAGGCCCAAGGCUUGUGACAGGCAUCUCCCAAGUUUGUACAAAGUCAGUCUUCAAAAAUAAGAAACUAGAGUUGACUUUGAGAAGAAAGCAAAGAAUUAAAGUUGUACUUCUGAGACACUUGGACUGAACCCAGCCAGGCAGGUGAGGCAUUAAAUAAGUCACAUUAAAAAAUAUGUAUUCUGUAGAAUAUAUAUAUAAAAAAAAAAAAAAAAAAAAGGAGUGUGAUUCAGCACGGUU